ACGCCUGCCCAGUGAACAAUUUAACGGCCGCGGUACCCUAACCGUGCAAAGGUAGCAUAAUAAUUUGUCUAUUAAUUGUAGACCUGCAUGAAAGGCAAAAUGAGGGCCCAACUGUCUCUUAUAGUAAAUCAAUUAAACUGAUCUCCCAGUCAAAAAGCUGGAAUAUUCCCAUAAGACCAGAAGACCCUGUGAAGCUUUAACUAAACUAUUAAAUCCCAUAAUAGCUCCUUUAGGUUGGGGCGACCUUGGAAAAAAAAAGAACUUCCAAACAAAAAGUUUUAUAUAACACCAAAAUAGGCUGACAGGCCUGCUACAGACCCAGUACCACUGACAACUGAACCAAGUUACUCCAGGGAUAACAGCGCUAUCUUCUUCAAGAGCCCAUAUCAAAAAGAAGGUUUACGACCUCGAUGUUGGAUCAGGACAUCCUAAUGGUGCAGCCGCUAUUAAGGGUUCGUUCGUUCAACGAUUAACAGUCCUACGUGAUCUGAGUUCAGACCGGA
rnacentral:rRNA from 1 species